AUGGAACACAUACUUUUUAGCUGGUCGAGAGGUGGAAGGGGAAAAUUAAUGAUCCUGAGGCACAAAUGAAGUCCUCGUUAUCAGAUUGCACAUGGUUGGAAAAUAAGUAAGGAUUAACAUUUAGGACACUAGAAAUUUUAUGAAGCUCAAAGAAUUGAGGGGCAUUUUUAUUCUCAUUUUUCUUCAUCUUUAUUUCUCUAUUUUGGCACUUUUUCUUCUUUUUCAUAGCUCAUUUUUUGUUUUUUUCUUUUGUCUCUUUUGUCUCCUCAGAAUUUUUUUCAACAUAAUACUUACUCAGUAGUAGUCAGAGAUAAUGCUUGAAUGAUGCUUG
rnacentral:lncRNA from 1 species